rnacentral:rRNA from 1 species
GACGAGGGGUCCUAGCGUUGUUCGGAAUCAUUGGGCGUAAAGCGCAUGUAGGCGGCUAUCUAAGUCAGGUGUGAAAGCCCCGGGCUCAACCCGGGAAGUGCAUUUGAUACUGGAUAGCUUGAGUACUAGAGAGGAUAGUAGAAUUCCUGGUGUAGUGGUGAAAUACGUAGAUAUCAGGAGGAAUACCGGUGGCGAAGGCGGCUAUCUGGCUAUGUACUGACGCUGAGAUGCGAAAGCGUGGGGAGCAAAC